rnacentral:hammerhead_ribozyme from 1 species
AUCCAGAUGACGAGUCACAAAUAGGACGAAAUGUGCAUCCUGGAU